rnacentral:rRNA from 1 species
GUGAGUAGUUCAGAGUUUGAUCCUGGCUCAGGAUAAACGCUGGCGGCAUGCCUAAUACAUGCAAGUGGAACGAGUCAUUUCGGUGAUUCGUCGCGAACGGGUGAGUAACACGUAGAUAACCUACCUAGUAGAGGGGGAUAACCAUUGGAAACGAUGGAUAAUACCGCAUAGAUACUCCUUAGGCAUCUAAGGAAGUAGAAAGGAGCAAUUGCUCCGCUAGUAGAUGGAUCUGCGGCGCAUUAGCUAGUUGGUGAGGUAACGGCCCACCAAGGCGAUGAUGCGUAGCCGGCCUGAGAGGGUGAACGGCCACAUUGGGACUGAGACACGGCCCAG